GGGCGCUCAGAGGGAGAGCUGCGCGGCCUUCCAGGCAGAAGGAACACCGUGUCCAAACGCACGGAAGCGUGAAAGCCCCCACGAGUGCUUUGACGAUGUGGUGGGUCAGGUCUACCUGAUGAGGCGAACAGGGAAACUCUUGGGGGAGAAAAUCCUGCCUGUCAAUCUCAUAUUCUCAGUUCCCUUUUAUCAGAUGGGGGCUCACUGUGCUGCCUCAUACCCACUGAAGGGCGAGAAACCCAGCAUCUUCAGAACGUCUCUUAACCUGUUAAUUUCGUUAAAGAUUGGGCCUUCGAGAUGGCUCAGUGGGUAAAGACGCUGCCAAGUUGGAUGACCUGAGUUCGAUCUUCUGGACCUUGGAAGGAGAAAAUGGAACCCUGCAGGUUGUCCUCUGAUUUGUACAUGCGUGCACACACGUAAUUUAAAUAAAUAAUUGAUAGCUCUA
rnacentral:lncRNA from 1 species